UCUAGAAGAUCCUGAUGGUGACACCUAACAACCACAACACAUCUCGGACUACUACCAUGUCAAUCUCAAGAAUGUGAUGAUAACAUGACCAUUCAAAUUGGUGAAGUACUUCAGAUGCAAAUUGAGGUUCAGAGAUAGUUAAAUGAACAACUUGAGAAAUGGUCAUUUGUUAAAUCUGAGCAUAAAAGAUCGGAAAUCCAAGGGCUUAUGGAAUUGGUAUUGCAAAGAUCUUCAUGUGAUUCGGAUCCUUAUAAGGAGAGAUAAUUUAUAUACAUGAGGGAGCCACCUAUUGAUUCUUUUGAUGUCUCUACAUGUGGUAAUAGUUUCAUCUGAGAUUGUCUCUACCUACUAUAUAUGCAGCUUGUUUACUAAAAAAGUUCUAUUUCUUAAACUGCUAACUACUUGAUUCUUUACUGCUAGGCCUUGAUUUGCUGGAUGACAUCUUGUUGGGUUAUAAAGUUGAAUGGCCAAUGAAUAUUGGCAUUACUGUAGACGCACUGAAAAUACAUGCUAAAAUAUUAUGAAUGUUCUUUACCGCAGUUGCUGCGGAGGAAGCCGACAGCGCGGCUAUGGUCGCUGAGAAGAAGGUUGUCGCGUCUGUGUAGCUUGUCGCCGUUGCUGCGCACAAGGCGGGCUGCGCCGUGGAUGCUGUCUGUUUGUAUUACUUUUCGUUGGUUGCAUUAAGUGUUGUACUGUGUGUUUGGUAAUGCAGUUACUUUUGUAUUCAGUGAACUGUUUGGUAAUGCGAUUCCUUUUGUAUUUA